rnacentral:rRNA from 1 species
GAUCAUGGCUCAGGAUGAACGCUGGCGGCGUGCCUAACACAUGCAAGUCGAGCGAACCCUCGGGGUGAGCGGCGGACGGGUGAGUAACGCGUGGGUAACCUGCCCUGUACACACGGAUAACAUACCGAAAGGUAUGCUAAUACGAGAUAAUAUAUUUUAAUCGCAUGGUUAAGAUAUCAAAGCUCCGGCGGUACAGGAUGGACCCGCGUCUGAUUAGCUAGUUGGUGAGGUAAUGGCUCACCAAGGCGACGAUCAGUAGCCGACCUGAGAGGGUGAUCGGCCACACUGGAACUGAGACACGGUCCAGACUCCUACGGGAGGCAGCAGUGGGGAAUAUUGCACAAUGGGCGAAAGCCUGAUGCAGCAACGCCGCGUGAGCGAUGAAGGCCUUCGGGUCGUAAAGCUCUGUCCUCAAGGAAGAUAAUGACGGUACUUGAGGAGGAAGCCCCGGCUAACUACGUGCCAGCCGCCGC